GAGAAUGUAGCUCAGUGGUAGAGCACUUGUCUAUCACGUGCAAGGCCCUGGGUUUGAUUCCCAGUAUCA
rnacentral:tRNA from 1 species